AUGAGCAAUCACUUUAAUUCCCUUUGGAUGUGGAGCAGCACUGGAUGUGGAGCUGCGCUGGAGCAGCGGAGCGGCGGAUUUGCGGCGGCGCCGUCGUCCUCAUGUUGUCAUCAUCCUCACGAGUCCACACAUGGAGAAGGAGCAGCCGCCAUGGAGUACUACAGGAGCGGAUCAUGCCCAACAGGACCACGCCCAGGACAUGGCCGUGGAUCAAACUGCUGCACCCUGGGGCUGGUGCUUGUGAUGUGCGACGAGGAGAAGCGAUUUGAAAUCCUGGGAGCAAAGGAGGAAGACGACGAUGGGGAUAGCGAUUCAAAACAGGGAUAG
rnacentral:rRNA from 1 species